AACUAUUUAACUAAAGUUAACAAAGCAUGAUAAUUUCUUUAUAAAGCAUUGAAGAAAAUGUGUUUAUUACAUACAAUUGAAGAAAAAUAUGGUUCACAUUCUCAUGUUUGUUUAUGCUUUGAUCUUCUCUAAUUUCAUAUUUCUUGUUGAAGCAAAUAUGGUUGUCCUUGGAUGUGUUUCUGAUGAUGAUUGUCCAAAGGUGCCUUUACCUCGUUUUUUGAAGUGCAUCGCAAAUUUGUGUUGUCUCGUCAGGAAAAAAGAUUUGUGAUGUUUGUCGACACACAAAAGUGUAACUAUUAUGUGCAACAAUAACUAUGUCAACUCUAAGCAUAAGCCAAUCAAGACAAUUUGUUUUUCAUUAUUUCCAUCUACCUCUUCCUCCCAUAAAAGAUCAUGGAAGUUUAAUCGCGUAGAAAUGCUAUUUUCGGCUUUGGUUUGAGGGGAUAGUGAGUGCUUGCAGAUUUCUAUUGUGUGCACCCUUUGGAUUUCAAGUGUAAUUUUUGUGAUUGUUUUUCAUUUUGGUUGUAUUUAUGUGCCUUUUAUUCUAGCAUGUACGUGUGAAACCAUUUUUCUUUGGCUUUAGUAUUUUGAAGCCUUGGUUUUGCUAUGUAUUUUUUAUUAUAUUGUUAGCCUUUAAAAUAUAUGAUAUGUUGUUUAAAGAAAACAUACAAUUGGUUCGCAUCA